GGCAGAGUAGAGAAACGGUAUCUCGCAAGGCUCAUAACCUUUGAAAAAGGCGGGUUCGACUCCCCCCUCUGCUCC
rnacentral:tRNA from 1 species